rnacentral:lncRNA from 1 species
CUGGGUUUAGUUAUUAAUGUACUGAAUUAUGUUUUUAUUCUAAUUGUUUCUUCUUUACUCUUCUAUGCUUAAGGGAUAUGCUCAUAUAAAUGACUGCAAGAUAAAUAAAGCUGACAAACACAAGUGACUGUAUCUUUUGGCAUUAAGAUAAUUAUAGAUCAUUACAUGGUAGGAAUAGUCAAUAGCCCCAAAGUAAUAUGAUUAAAUAAAGCACUUUAAAACUGUAAUUCACCUAGCCUUUUUAAUAUUUUACUAUUUCUUCUUUGUUGCUCCAAAGCUAUGAAUUUUAAGAUUUAUUUGUCACUACUCUCUAUAUUUUCUGCUGUACACACUAUUUGUGGGCUAUGGCAACCAAUCCCCUUGGGCUUGCUUUUGCUUUAAUUUGCAUAAACACAGGCAUCAUAUGAAUAUUCAGUGAGUGGCUUUGCAUUAAGUAAGUGCCCUUAAUCAGCUUUUCAGUUCAGUUUUAUUGGUUGCACGCACAGUCAGUUAUUUCAUCCAGAAAAUCUGAAGGCCCUACAAACUAACCAGACACUAUCUAAACACAGACGCGAAUCGGUACAGACACGAAUUGGUUCCCUGAGACGAGGUCUUCGGGAGACUUCUCACACAGCCACUAGAUGGCAUGAGAGCACUGCAUUGCGCCUGCUUGGCCACACUGCCGCUUGCAACAUUGAGGCGUUUAUUCUCCUGCUAAGAGCUCAAUGUUUAGUCAAGGCAAACUCUAGGAUUUCUUGAUAGACAAUACUUGAAAUAGACUAUGAAGUGCACACAACUGAAGGCGAACAAAUAAUGCACACUGAAAUGAGUGCACGUGUCUUCCAAAGACUACAAGCCUCCUUUUGACAUUCAACCGACUCAGUAAGGAGGGAAGAAGAAAUUGAAUUUAGCUGAUGCAAAUGAAAUUAAAAC